rnacentral:rRNA from 1 species
GACGAACGCUGGCGGCGUGCUUAACACAUGCAAGUCGAACGGAAAGGCCCUGCUUUUGUGGGGUGCUCGAGUGGCGAACGGGUGAGUAACACGUGAGUAACCUGCCCUUGACUUUGGGAUAACUUCAGGAAACUGGGGCUAAUACCGGAUAGGAGCUCCUGCUGCAUGGUGGGGGUUGGAAAGUUUCGGCGGUUGGGGAUGGACUCGCGGCUUAUCAGCUUGUUGGUGGGGUAGUGGCUUACCAAGGCUUUGACGGGUAGCCGGCCUGAGAGGGUGACCGGCCACAUUGGGACUGAGAUACGGCCCAGACUCAUACGGGAGGCAGCAGUGGGGAAUAUUGCACAAUGGGCGGAAGCCUGAUGCAGCAACGCCGCGUGCGGGAUGACGGCCUUCGGGUUAUAAACCGCUUUCGCCUGUGACGAAGCGUGAGUGACGGUAAUGGGUAAAGAAGCACCGGCUAACUACGUG